rnacentral:rRNA from 1 species
UACAGAGGUCUCAAGCGUUGUUCGGAUUUCAUUUGGGCGUAAAGGGUGCGUAGGCGGCGCGGUAAGUCGGGUGUGAAAUCUCGGAGCUUAACUCCGAAACUGCAUUCGAUACUGCCGUGCUUUGAGGACUGGAGAGGAGACUGGAAUUUUACGGUGUAGCGGUGAAAUGCGUAGAUAUCGUAAGGAAGACCAGUGGCGAAGGCGGGUCUCUGGGCCAUAACUGACGCUGAGAAGCGAAAAGCAUGGGGGAGCGAACAGG